rnacentral:lncRNA from 1 species
GAUAAUUUUGUAAAGAAAUCGAAGCUAUACUAUACUCCCACUCUUUUGGAGACAAUCAAGUACUUAUCACAAAUACGCAUGAUCCAAGAACAUGCAGCUAGCCACGUGGAAUGGUGUUCGUUAGUUAACGAACGGUGAAUCAAUGUGACUCUUGACUUUAAAGAUACGCGACGGCUCGCCUCUUCGAAAGCGCUAGCACCUCACACCGUCCACAUGUCUGGCCGUGAUUUCGUAUUAAUAUAACUUUGAUAUCUUCUUCCUUUACAUAUAAAAUUUAAUAGAUCUUUGGUACUAAAAGACUAAAAGAGCACCGCCACUGUUAUCCAUUUGCUUCAACUUGAAAGAUACUUCUAAAAAAAGAUAGACGGAAUAUUUUAAUAAAAUAAGCUUCAAUUUGUUAUAAUGAGUGAGGGAAAGUAAAUAUAUAAUGUUUUUAUCAGUUCCUAACUUCCUACCAAUAUUAAAUUCACACGAUGAGGCACGACCGUGCAGUUUUUUUUUUCCCCAAAUUAAAAUUUCAUUCGUAAUCAAAUUACCGGUAUUCAUACACAAACUGGCGGCAAAACAAAAUAGUCCCAAAACCAAAAGUUCAUAAGAAGCAGCGGCUAAAAUCCACACUGGGGCGACUAAAACCCACACUCGGGUGAUUUACAAACAAACACAAACCAUAAAAACUAAAGUGCAAUUGUCAAUAAUAGCACCUUUUGAAGUUUAUGUCACAAAAAUAACACUAGAAGGAGAAAGUCACAAAAAUGACAUUCAUUAAAGGGUAAAAUAUCCCUAAUACCCUUGGUUUAAAAUUAAAUAAACAAACAAAAAUAAAUAUAAAUAAAUAAAAUAAAAAUAAAAAAAAAAUUAAAAAAAAGAAUUUUUUUUAUAGUUUCAGAUUAUAUUUUUCAGAUUCAAAAUUUUUAUAAUAUUUUUUUGAAUUUGUUUUUUGAAUUUUUUUUUUUUAAUUUUCUUUUUAUAAUUUAAAAAUACUUUUUGAAACUGUUUUUAAAAUUUUUAUUUUUAUUUUAGUAUUUAUUUUUUAUAAAAUUUUAAACCCUAAUUCCAAAACCCCACCCCCUUAACUCUAAACCCUAAGGUUUGGAUUAAUUAACCCAAAGGGUAUAAGUGUAUAUUUACCUCUUUAAUGAAACCUAUUUUUGUGACUUUGAGCCUUGAGUGCUACUUUGGGAACAAAAACUUGGUUUGGUGCUAUCUUAGUCUUUUUCUCAAAACUAAAUCAACUCUAGCACCAAAAACACGUUAACAUCCACGCAAAAGCCUCAUCAGAUCACUUAGCAGCUUUUAAAACAGAGUAAAUGUCAAUGGUCGGAAAAGUACCGCUGCUGUC